CUCAGAGAUGAUGAAGCUCCUUUAGUAGCUGCAGAUUGUGGCGCAUUCAUCAAUAGUUCUAUUAUUUGCUCCAGUUUCCUUGUAGUGUUUGCUGACUCCCUAUAAAGUGCAUCAUAGUGGGAUUGCCCUUCGACCCAAUUUUGCUCAAUCUCUGGAGGCACCAGGUGGGAACUUCGAACAGAUGGCGGGCGUUUAAUUUCCCUGCCAAUUCUGUGAGUUCAAGAACCGGGGAAGGUUCUUACAGCGGUCCCCUUUGUCCAGGAUCACCCAGAGGCCGUCGAUGUCGGAUUCAACAGUUUGUAAAACCGGAGUCCCUGCGACUGCGCUGCACCGAUCCCUGGGAUCUAAACCGCUCUGUACCAGAUUGUAACAAUCCUGACGUUAAGCAACCACAGUGAAUUGUAGGAUGGCUUUAGGAGUGAUGGAUGGAUACCUGAUCCUGCUCCUUGUCCGGUGAAGUUCCUUCGACUGAGGAUGAGGAAGGGAAAUGAUGGGAAUUCGAUCUGAAUUCUGUAUCCAAGAGCCGGUAAUUCCAGGGAAGGAUGAACAGAGAUCAGAUGAGCAGAGAGAGAAGGGAAUAGAGGGAAUAGAGGAGAUAGAGGAGGUAGAAGAGAAGAGAGGGGAAGAGAACAGGAAUGGGGGAGAAACUGGGAUUUUUUUAUAUUUCAGCUUAACCUAUUACAGGCGUGAGGAGAUGGAUACUUAUACCGCUCUAUUGUGGGCACUAAAAUGUAAGAAUUACAAUGUUCGCCUCUCUCUCAGUUUCCGGAGUCGGGUCGACGACGCAACAGUGAGGAGGCGCCGACCCGCUACCUGAAAGCUGAUCCAAGACGCGGAGUCGGGCUCGGUGAUGCUACAGAGAGAGAGCGCGGAC